AGCGAACACUGGCGGCAGGCUUAACACAUGUAAGUCGAGCGGGCGUAGCAAUACGUCAGCGGCAGACGGGUGAGUAACGCGUGGGAACGUACCUUUUGGUUCGGAAUAACACAGGGAAACUUGUGCUAAUACCGGAUAAGCCCUUACGGGGAAAGAUUUAUCGCCGAAAGAUCGGCCCGCGUCUGAUUAGCUAGUUGGUA
rnacentral:rRNA from 1 species